rnacentral:rRNA from 1 species
CUUCCACAAUGGACGAAAGUCUGAUGGAGCACCCCCGCGUGACGGAUGAAGGAUUUCGGAUCGUAAAGCCCUGUUGUGACGUAAGAACAAUUACUGGUGUCACUGUCUGUACCUUGACGGUACCUCACCAGCAACCCACGGCUAACUACGUGCCUUCAGCCGCGGUAAUACGUAGGUGGCAAGCGUUGUCCGGAAUUUAUGGGCGUAAAGCGCGCGCAGGCGGUCCUUUAAGUCUGAUGUGAAAGCCCACGGCUCAACCGUGGAGGGUCAUUGGAAACUGGAGGACUUGAGUACAGAAGAGGAAAGCGGAAUUCCACGUGUAGCGGUGAAAUGCGUAGAGAUGUGGAGGAACACCAGUGGCGAAGGCGGCUUUCUGGUCUGUAACUGACGCUGAGGCGCGAAAGCGUGGGGAGCAAAC